AUUUUGCGCACAUCUCUUGCUAACAGGACGUCACUCUACUGGGAACAACUUUCAACUGAAAGUUGAAGAAAACGGUGCAUGUGCGCACGCGCUGUUCAGACCUCCGUAGAAGUACUGGUCCACGGUCUUGAGCCAGCCCACGUCGUCGUGCGUGUGCGGAACCAGGUGGACGUUCAGCAUGGACGCCUUUGUAGCGUGACAGGACUGCAAACAAACAAAUGAACUUCCUCCAGGCGGCUGCGAAGUCUCCCCAGGGCCCCCCUCGCCCCACUGAAGGCCUCGGUGGAGGGGCCAGACGUCGGUGAGGGCCGGGCGGCGGCCGCGAUGGGAAGGCACAGCAGCGGCGCCACCUGCUGGGGAGAGAGCGACACUCAAACAGCCGAGCGAUAAGGUGCCGUUUCUCACGACGACAUCACCUGCAGAAAGUGCCCGCUGUCCUGGGUCUGAAGAAGUUGUUCGAUCUCCCGGUCUCGC